rnacentral:rRNA from 1 species
UCUUGCUGGGUGGAUCAGUGGCGAACGGGUGAGUAACACGUGAGCAACCUGCCCCUGACUCUGGGAUAAGCGCUGGAAACGGCGUCUAAUACUGGAUACGAACCACGAAGGCAUGUUCAGUGGUUGGAAAGAUUUAUUGGUUGGGGAUGGGCUCGCGGCCUAUCAGCUUGUUGGUGAGGUAAUGGCUCACCAAGGCGUCGACGGGUAGCCGGCCUGAGAGGGUGACCGGCCACACUGGGACUGAGACACGGCCCAGACUCCUACGGGAGGCAGCAGUGGGGAAUAUUGCACAAUGGGCGCAAGCCUGAUGCAGCAACGCCGCGUGAGGGAUGACGGCCUUCGGGUUGUAAACCUCUUUUAGCAGGGAAGAAGCGAAAGUGACGGUACCUGCAGAAAAAGCGCCGGCUAACUACGUGCCAGCAGCCGCGGUAAUACGUAGGGCGCAAGCGUUAUCCGGAAUUAUUGGGCGUAAAGAGCUCGUAGGCGGUUUGUCGCGUCUGCUGUGAAAUCCCGAGGCUCAACCUCCGGCCUGCAGUGGGUACGGGCAGACUAGAGUG